rnacentral:rRNA from 1 species
GUGGGGAAUAUUGGGCAAUGGGCGCAAGCCUGACCCAGCAACGCCGCGUGAGGGAAGAAGGUUUUCGGAUUGUAAACCUCUGUCGCAAGGGACGAAACAAAUGACGGUACCUUGUGAGGAAGCCCCGGCUAACUACGUGCCAGCAGCCGCGGUAAUACGUAGGGGGCGAGCGUUGUCCGGAAUUACUGGGCGUAAAGGGUGCGUAGGCGGUUGCCUAAGUUGGAUGUGAAAUACCCGGGCUUAACUUGGGGGGUGCAUUCAAAACUGGGUGACUAGAGUUCAGGAGAGGGAAGCGGAAUUCCUAGUGUAGCGGUGAAAUGCGUAGAUAUUAGGAGGAACACCAGUGGCGAAGGCGGCUUUCUGGACUGACACUGACGCUGAGGCACGAAAGCGUGGGGAGCAAACAGGAUUAGAAACCCCGGUAGUCC